UGUCUUUUCUGCAGUCAUGGUGUUCCUCAUAGUAGGUAAAGAUUGUCACAUUGUAGACCAACUGACGAUUAAAAUAAUGGAGAUUUUUAGUUUGGAUCUCUGCUUUGAAAAUAGCUCCAGAUUUUAUCUAAGAUCUUUCUAUGCAUGACUGGAUCUUUUGACUGACAUUUAGCUCCAGAACAGAUCCCAGUGUUUCAUAGAAAACCAAGCAGUCUUAGAACAUGUGGCACGUUUGUGAAAAUGCAUGUUUAAAUAAGUACUUAUUUCAUCCCAGCACUUGGGAGAUGAAAGCAAGAGAUCAGAAGUUCAAGGCCAGCCUUCACUAUAUAGUGAGUUCGAGGCCAACCUGAGCUAUGUGAGACUGUGCCUCAAGCCCACCUCCAUUCUCACCGCCCCCCGAAAUCAGGAUCCAAAGAGCAGCUUUAACAUCCAGGGUAAACUGAAUUGGGCAUAGAAUCAGCGACUGAUCACUCAACAGACUUUUCUCUAACAGAGCAAAGCUUGAUUCUCUGGGGCUGACACUCCCUGUGAACAGCGAGAGACUCUUUGAACUCAUAGGGGGCUGGGAGUCGAAAAAAGACAAAAGAGGGGAAAGAAUCACACACACACACACACACACACACACACACACAAACACACACUCGGUAGAUGAAGCAAGAUGAGUUGCAAUGACUUUGCAGGUCCAUACAUACAUGCCUGCAUACAUACAUACAUACAUACAUACAUACAUACAUACAUACAUAACAUUCACACAUUGGGUGGAGGGGGCAAAGCUCCAACCAACUCUACAUAUACAUGCAUGUAUGCAUACACAUGUUUGGUGAUGGAGCAAAGCUCCAACGAUUAAGCUCUUGCAACUUUAUAUUUUCUCACAGCUAUCCGUCCCAGCAAAAUCUUACCAGCAGUAUACAAUGUACAAUGGGAUGACAUUCUGUUUUUCUUCUAGUGAAUGAUUACAGAAGCUGAGGACAAAAAUGGAUACCAGAUCAUCAGCCCAGCUUUAGCAAGAGAUUCAUGUUGGUCAUAUCAGUCAGGCUGCUGUUCUUGUUCCUUGACCAAACCAAAAGAGCCUCCUCGUUCAACUAUUGAGAGUGCACGCCGUGGGCUGGAAAGAUGGCCCAGAGGUUAGGAGCACUGACUGCUCUUCCAGAGGUCCUGAGUUCAAUUCCCAGCAACCACAUGGUGGCUCACAACCAUCUGUACUGGGAUCUGAUGCCCUCCUCUGGUGUGCAUGAAGACAGCUACAGUGUACUCAUAUACAUAAAAUAAAUUAAAACAAAGAAAGAAAAA